rnacentral:misc_RNA from 1 species
AGGGUUACUGUUAAUAUGAAUUUGGAUUACAGUGCUGGUUAUACAGAUCUGGAACAAUACGCUACUGUGAUCAAAAUAUUUCAUAUAAUAUGACAUCAAACUAAAGAUUCUUUAUGAUGUUAUAGUGUACUUGUAUAUAUCAUUAAGUUUUGUAUUUUGAAGAUUAUAUUCAUUAAAUCUCAGUAUUGAUG